rnacentral:lncRNA from 1 species
GUAAAGGAAGAAGGGGAAGCAGAAAGCAAUGUGGUAUUCAACGGCUAACAGAGAACAUAUAAAUAAAUUAAGGUUUAUGCAGCUUCGUUAACUCAUUUCCCAAGCUUUUCCAGCAAAAGUAAACGUGAGGGAAGUACACUGAUAUUAAUACUAACGCGUUUCUAGCAGCCUCAGAGCAGCAGCAUUUAACGCUGAACAUCACACAGAAUCCCAGUCACCAAGAAUGUCUGCAUUUUGGAGGUUUCUCUGCACCGGCUCUGGGGCAGGGCACAACAGAAAAACUCAGAUUUGUCCACGGGACACAACUGUGCUUUUGAUCUCCUCUGGGGUGGCUGUGUCUGUCCAUAGCCCCUGGCAUAGUCAGGUGGGAAGAUCAACAAUGCAGACCCGAGGAAGUCCCAGCUUGCUGCUCCUCAGUUUCUGGAAAUGCACUCCUCUCAUUCCGCAAUGUCUCUGGGAAAGCUGUUCUACUUUUUAAUAGACAGAAUCCUAAAAGGAUGUCUGGUGAUCCUCAACGUGGAGAAAGAGAGCUAGAGUGGGGAAGUGGCUAUUUCCCCGACGCCAGCCUCCCACUCCCAUUCCUCAGAGAAGCCCCGCCAGGACCCCGGCCAACCUCGCGGAACCAAAAGCUUCUCUGGCUCCAGAGCCGAUAGCAGCACGCGGUCAUGUCUGCGACAAGUGGCAGAGUUCCUGCCUUCUCAGGCAGACCACGCCCCGAUGCUGCUGAUGCUCCUUACUGCCUCCCGCCCUUACCCGAACGACUUACCUGAGCCAGAACCUCCACGUUCGCUGCCGGGACCCGAAGAUCCUGCACGCGGCCAUGUUGCCCACGCCCCCUCACGUUUACCCACGUCCCCACGCAGCAAACGUCAUUUCGUCAUUCCAGGCUACGCCCCUAUCAGUCCCGCCUCUGUCCCCGACCCAGGCUCAAAUCUCGCCCUGACCACGCUUCCCCUGCGCCGGAGUCCACACCCGCUCUGCGCUCUGGCUACACAUCUCCUGUCGCUGCCACGCGCCUGCACGCUAACUUGCCCACGCCUCUGCCCUCCGCCUGCUCCACCAUGUUUGUUACGCCCGUCAGAGCAACAAGGCACGCCCACACGUGAAUGGAGCCUACAUAUGCUCACAUAUUGAUAUAAAUCUAGUGAACUCAACAAGGGAUCUUCCAUGAAUCAAAAAAACGACACGUAUGUUUUCUUUUCAUGUGAUCUCAUAUUCUAUUUGCCCCAGAGUGGUAGAUCAAUAGUUAUGUGCUCAGAAAGUGCUUUUCAAGAGUGUUGUGAAGUAUAAAAAACACGGAGAAAUCAAUUUCGUUUUCCCAUCUCAGGAGACUUAGUGCCCUUUUGUGUGGCUCAUGGC